UUAAAGCCAUUGUCUGAGUUGGUGUGGCCGUUAGUUAGUUUUGUUCGCCAAACGUAACAAUUGCCUUUUUGCAUUUUUAUUUGCUACAAACCACAACAAUAACAAGAAAAACAGGAACCAGCUUAGAGCCCAAAAUAGUUGAAAUACGACAGCGAAAACAAUUUGUUAGGCCAGAAGAAGUGUUUGGCCAAUCCUCUUGGCCAGAGGAAGAAUUUAAAUCAACUCCCAACUACCUAAUUGCAUAAGGUUUUCGGUUGGACCCUUUGGUUUUUGGCCAGGAUGUAUUUUAUUUUUGGUAUGUUGUGGCUUUAAUUAGUCAAGUAAGCGCUGAAAGAAAAAUUCUAAUCAAGACUUGAAAAGGAAAUUAUCAGAAGUAUACAAUGCAGUGAAGGAUGCUUCUUCGACCCUUAAAGUACUCCGGUUCUUAAGCGGAAUACCUUAAACGAUUUGUAGAUUGAUUCUCCAAAAAUCUGCAUCAAAAUUUAAAUACACAAUAUUUUUUUAAAUUUUUUGUUAAAUUUUCUGGGGGAUCCCCUUCAACAUUUUGCAAAUGGCUGGGCAGGACAAUCUGGCCCCCAGCGAUGGCCAUAUCUUGGCCAAUUUCUAUCGGAUUCUUAAACGGAACACCUUAAACGAUUUGUAGAUCGGUUUUCCACAAAUCUGCAUCAAAACCUAACAACGAAAUAUUUUAAAAAUUUUUUGUGAAAUUUUCUGGGAGAUCCCCUUCAACAUUCUGCAAAUGGCUGGGAAGGACGAUCUGGCCCCCAGCGAUGGCCAUAUCUUGACCAAUUUCUAUCGGAUUCUUAAACGGAACACCUUAAACGAUUUGUAGAUCGGUUUUCCACAAAUCUGCAUCAAAAUCUAAAAACAAAAUAUUUUUUAAAUUUUUUGUUAAAUUUCCUGGGGGAUCCCCUUCAACAUUCUGCAAAUGGCUGGGAAGAACGAUCUAGCUUUCAGCGAUAGCCAUAUAUUGGCCAAUUUUCAUCUGAUUCUUAAAGGGAAUACCUUAAACGAUUUGUAGAUUAAUUCUUCACAAAUCUGCAUCAAAAUCAAAAAACACAAUAUUUUUUAAAUUAUUUGUUAAAUUUUCUGGGAGAAACCCCUGGGAAGGACGAUUUGGCCCCCAGCGAUCGCCAUAUCUAGUUGUUCCUUCUUCUUUUAUGUAAAAGGUUCCUUUCACUCCAAGGCGAAAAAAGAAACUCAUUAUGUUGCAGCGGCAGAAAGUAAAGAGAAAAAGAAGUUUGGUGCCUGAAGACACACCCCAACCUCACGACCACCCAUAUAGCCACCCCAACCGCCACAGACAGAUACCACAAUGACACAGAAAGUGUUGAGCUGCAAAUGAGGGAACAAUGCGGCCAAAAAUAAAAACGAGGAAAAUGCAAAGUGGAAAUGCUUCGAGGGCAGGCCAUGCGUGGAGCAAACAAACUCGGAAAAUGCAAAACAGAUGUGUAAAUAAUUUAGACGAGUUGCCGGCACCAGAGAGUGUGUAUCUUUUUAGUUUAUGUAUCAUUAAAAAAUACUUACACAAAAACAAAGACCAAAGAAGUAUAAUGAGAGGCAAGGAAAAGCGGGAAAUGUGCCAUUUUCCAACUGCAAAGCAAACACACUCGACCGAAUGCACAAAAAACAAAAAAAUAUAACAUUAGGAGUUAUUUUAAGAACUGCAUAUUAAAACAGAUAUCAUCUUAAACAUUUAAGCAUAAUACUUAUAUGGAUUCGUUCCUUUACGAUUUUCUUACAAUAGAAUAUUUUGUUUUCUUAAAAUAGAUCUUGCAAUAGAGAUAGAAUUUCAUAUUCCGUCGGAUUGGUUUUUCUUAAAAAUAAAAUAUGUACAUAUUACA